rnacentral:rRNA from 1 species
AAUGAACGCUGGCGGCAUGCCUAACACAUGCAAGUCGAACGAAGACUUCGGCCUUAGUGGCGCACGGGUGCGUAACGCGAGGGAAUCUGCCCUCAGGUUCGGAAUAACAGCGAGAAAUUGCUGCUAAUACCGGAUGAUAUCGCGAGAUCAAAGAUUUAUCGCCUGAGGAUGAGCCCGCGUAGGAUUAGCUAGUUGGUGUGGUAAAGGCGCACCAAGGCGACGAUCCUUAGCUGGUCUGAGAGGAUGAUCAGCCACACUGGGACUGAGACACGGCCCAGACUCCUACGGGAGGCAGCAGUGGGGAAUAUUGGACAAUGGGCGAAAGCCUGAUCCAGCAAUGCCGCGUGAGUGAUGAAGGCCUUAGGGUUGUAAAGCUCUUUUACCCGGGAUGAUAAUGACAGUACCGGGAGAAUAAGCUCCGGCUAACUCCGUGCCAGCCGCCGCAGUAA